rnacentral:ncRNA from 1 species
ACGAGCCACAUGCAGGGAAACUUGCACGUGUGGUUCUGGCCAU